GAUCCUGGGAUAUGGAUAAUCCAAGGCAUUGAUCCUGAGAGUUCUCCCCAGCAAACUUCCAGCAUACAAAUAGGUGCCUCAGAGGCGCCUCAUCCUAAGACAGUGUGUAGCAGACAGGGAAGCUGAAGCCUGGAGACCAUCUGAGAAGACGGUGAGCAAAAGCCAUGAGGUACCAGACACUACGGUCUCACAGAAGUCAUUCCGAGGUCAGGAGCCACAGAUUAAAAAUGAGAAAAAAAAAGUAGACGGGGUCAAGUCACUUUCUCAACGUAUCCUGAACAUCAGCUGAAGUAACGAGAAGUUGUUUUUCCUUCCUGCCAACUGGAAAGAGCCUCAGGACCACACUCAGCCAGGCACCAGAGCUGGGCAUCUGCCUUGUGUCUGUCUUGUCCCUCCACUUCCCUUGACCCUUGGACCAGUGACAGGGACACUCUGCCUACAUUUGUCAGCCUCUCCCUUUGAGGAACUGGCCAACGUUCUCUAAACAGCCAACUUCUGGCUGCAGCGUUGUUCCGAAUAAAUUGACCUAGAACAAAGGUGCUUCCUCCUGUCUGACUCCAAGUACAACAAGUUCUUUGGACACUGUGUCUUGACUUCUGCUGGCUGCCCUGGGGCGUAGUUUGAGUUUCUCCUCUAAGAAAAU
rnacentral:lncRNA from 1 species